rnacentral:lncRNA from 1 species
UUCCCCCAAAAUUUACCCGUGGGAUGCUUUGGCACGAGGCGCCGUGAACUAUGCCGAUCGAUCGCCAGCGUCGCGAUCUGUAGGGUACGCAUCUGUGCAGAAGAUUCAUCGCUUCUGUUCUCAAAAAAAAAAAAAAGAUUCAUCGCUGCUCACCUGUUCUAACUCGCCGCCGUCGGGUUUGCUAAUGAUGUUGAUCUCGCGCGAAACUGGAGCCCGUCGCGCUGCCGGAUCGGAGGCGGAGCACGGCCAUGUCCUGCGGACGAUUGGGUCGGCGCCGAGACACGCUCGCGUGCACCUGCCUCUCGUCCAACCGGCCACUGGCUUCGAGUUGUUCUUGUUCUGCGCCGCGGCCAAACUCUGAGUCCGGACCUCCUUCUGGCGACGGGAAAGUGAUAGCUCUCACCAAUUGUUAAGCAACAGCGUGAACAGCUUCUUCUUAAAAGAGGGAAAAAAACAGAACAGCGUGAAGAUAGCGUCACAUGUGAAAACCCAAAUACUCAUUCCUUAAUUAAGCAGAUCGGAUCGGAAAAGGCAUAGAGGGAUUCUCCGUCUCCGCGCCGCGUCCUCCCGCACGGAUCCGCGCUGCGGCCGAGCCCUAGCCGCUCCCCCGCCCCAUUCAUGGUGGGCGGGCCGUGAGAUCUCUAGGGAGGGCUC